UAAAUUUUUAAUUCGAGGCUAAAUAAUAAUUAUAUCUAAUGUCGAAUUUAUUUAUUUAUUUUUGAGAGAUAGGUAGGAUGCUACCUGCUUCGUUUAUUUCAUUUAGAAAUAAACUUAGUUAGAAAUGUAAAUCAAUUAGGAUUCGAACUUGGGACAUCAGGUACCAACCACCAAACCCUUUGUCGUGCUAGGCACGGUCGGUUAAUGUCGAAUUUAUUACAUUAUCACCUUUCAGAUUUAGACUCU
rnacentral:lncRNA from 1 species